rnacentral:rRNA from 1 species
UGGGGAAUUUUGGACAAUGGGGGAAACCCUGAUCCAGCCAUACCGCGUGUGCGAUGAAGGCCUUCGGGUUGUAAAGCACUUUUGGCAGGAAAGAAAAGUCAUGGGUUAAUACCCCGUGAAACUGACGGUACCUGCAGAAUAAGCACCGGCUAACUACGUGCCAGCAGCCGCGGUAAUACGUAGGGUGCAAGCGUUAAUCGGAAUUACUGGGCGUAAAGCGUGCGCAGGCGGUUCGGAAAGAAAGAUGUGAAAUCCCAGAGCUCAACUUUGGAACUGCAUUUUUAACUACCGGGCUAGAGUGUGUCAGGGGGAGGUGAAAUUCCGCGUGUAGCAGUGAAAUGCGUAGAUAUGCGGAGGAACACCGAUGGCGAAGGCAGCCUCCUGGGAUAACACUGACGCUCAUGCACGAAAGCGUGGGGAGCAAACAGG